GAUAAACAGUGUGAGAGACACUGUCGCCGAAAGUCCAAGGGUUCCUGCUUAAAGCUAAUCUGAGCAGGGUAAGCCGACCCCUAAGGCGAGGCCGAAAGGCGUAGUCGAUGGGAACCAGGUUAAUAUUCCUGGGCCAGAUGGAAGUGACGGAUCAUGAAGAUUGUUCACCCUUAUCGGAUUGGGUGGGCCGUUGAUUGGUCCCUGGAAAUAGCUCCAUCGCUAGAUCGUACCCUAAACCAACACAGGUGGACUGGUAGAGAAUACCAAGGCGCUUGAGAGAACCACAUUUAAGGAACUCGGCAAAAUACCUCCGUAAGUUCGCGAGAAGGAGGCCCGGUUUUUACGCAAGUAGAGGCCGGGGGCACAAACCAGGGGGUGGCGACUGUUUACUAAAAACAUAGGGCUCUGCGAAGUCGUAAGACGACGUAUAGGGUCUGACGCCUGCCCGGUGCCUGAAGGUUAAAAGGAGGGGUGAGAGCUCUGAAUUGAAGCCCAGGUAAACGGCGGCCGUAACUAUAACGGUCCUAAGGUAGCGAAAUUCCUUGUCGGGUAAGUUCCGACCUGCACGAAUGGCGUAACGACUUCCCCGCUGUCUCAAAUGUGGACUCAGCGAAAUUGAAUUACCUGUCAAGAUGCAGGUUUCCCGCGGUUAGACGGAAAGACCCCGUGCACCUUUACUACAGCUUCGCACUGGCAUCAGGAUUGUGAUGUGCAGGAUAGGUGGUAGACUUUGAAGCAGGAUCGCUAGAUUCUGUGGAGUCAUCCUUGAGAUACCACUCUUCGCACUCUUGAUGUCUAACCGCGGUCCGUUAUCCGGAUCCGGGACCCUGCGUGGCGGGUAGUUUGACUGGGGCGGUCGCCUCCUAAAUCGUAACGGAGGCGCGCGAAGGUUGGCUCAGAGCGGUCGGAAAUCGCUCGUUGAGUGCAAUGGCAGAAGCCAGCCUGACUGCAAGACUGACAAGUCGAGCAGAGUCGAAAGACGGCCAUAGUGAUCCGGUGGUCCCAAGUGGGAGGGCCAUCGCUCAACGGAUAAAAGGUACGCCGGGGAUAACAGGCUGAUACUGCCCAAGAGUCCAUAUCGACGGCAGUGUUUGGCACCUCGAUGUCGGCUCAUCUCAUCCUGGGGCUGGAGCAGGUCCCAAGGGUAUGGCUGUUCGCCAUUUAAAGAGGUACGCGAGCUGGGUUUAGAACGUCGUGAGACAGUUCGGUCCCUAUCUACCGUGGGCGUUGGAAAUUUGAGAGGAUCUGCUCCUAGUACGAGAGGACCAGAGUGGACGAACCUCUGGUGUUCGGGUUGUCACGCCAGUGGCAUUGCCCGGUAGCUACGUUCGGAUGGGAUAACCGCUGAAAGCAUCUAAGCGGGAAGCCCACCUCAAGAUAAGAUUUCCCUAAAGAGCCGUUCAAGACUAGGACGUUGAUAGGCAGGGUGUGGAAGCACAGCGAUGUGUGUAGCUAACCUGUACUAAUUGCUCGUUUGGCUUGACCAU
rnacentral:rRNA from 1 species